rnacentral:rRNA from 1 species
UUGAAAGGGAAACGAUUGAAGUCAGUCGUACCAGCGGGAAAUCAACCUUUCGAGUGGGAUCUUGGGACUUUAAAAGAGUUUCAAAGCCUUUUGGGUUUCAAGUUUUCUCAUUCUUUUGGUGUACUUUCUCGUAGGUAGGUCAACAUCGAUUUUGAACAUCAUAAAAAGAUUGGAGGAAUGUAGCUUCGAUCUCGUAUUGAAGUGUUAUAGCCUUUGGUAAAUGUGAUGAUCAAGAUCGAGGAUUGCAACGAAUAUCCUUUUGGGCUAUUCGUCUGAUCUCUGAUACGUUGCCUUGGUAUCGAAAGCGUGCUUAUGAUAUUAAGGUAUUACGGUCAAAAGGUUAGAACGGAUUACAUUCGUUAAGGAUGUUGACGUAAUGACUUUAAACGACCCGUCUUGAAACACGGACCA